rnacentral:sRNA from 1 species
GCCAGGCAUGGUGGGGCACGCCUGUAAUCUCUGCAACUUGGGAGGCUAAGGCAGGAAGGUUGCAAGUUGAGGGCCAGCCUCAGCAAUUUAGUGACUCUCUGUUUCAA